AUUGAACGCUGGCGGCAGGCCUAACAUAUGCAAGUCGAGCGGGGUUUUCGGACCUAGCGGCGGACGGGUGAGUAAUGCGUAGGAAGCUACCCGAUAGAGGGGGAUACCAGUUGGAAACGACUGUUAAUACCGCAUAAUGUCUACGGACCAAAGUGUGGGACCUUCGGGCCACAUGCUAUCGGAUGCGCCUACGUGGGAUUAGCUAGUUGGUGAGGUAAUGGCUCAACAAGGCGACGAUCCCUAGCUGGUUUGAGAGGAUGAUCAGCCACACUGGAACUGAGACACGGUCCAGACUCCUACGGGAGGCAGCAGUGGGGAAUAUUGGACAAUGGGCGCAAGCCUGAUCCAGCCAUGCCGCGUGUGUGAAGAAGGCCUUCGGGUUGUAAAGCACUUUCAGUAGGGAGGAAGAGUUAAGUGUUAAUAGUACUUAACUUUGACGUUACCUACAGAAGAAGCACCGGCUAACUCUGUGCCAGCCGCCGCGGUAAAAC
rnacentral:rRNA from 1 species